rnacentral:rRNA from 1 species
UACGUAGGGGGCUAGCGUUGUCCGGAAUCACUGGGCGUAAAGGGCGCGUAGGCGGCUCGUUAAGUGGCUGGUGAAAUCCCGGGGCUCAACUCCGGGGCUGCCGGUCAUACUGGCGAGCUAGAGCACGGUAGGGGCAGAUGGAAUUCCCGGUGUAGCGGUGGAAUGCGUAGAGAUCGGGAAGAAUACCAGUGGCGAAGGCGUUCUGCUGGGCCGUUGCUGACACUGAGGCGCGACAGCGUGGGGAGCAAACAGG